AGCAGCCGCGGUAAUUCCAGCUCCAAUAGCGUAUAUUAAAGUUGUUGCAGUUAAAAAGCUCGUAGUUGAAUUUCGGGAUUAGUAGGUUGGUCGUGCCUCUGGUAUGUACUCGCCUUACUGAUUCCUCCUUCUUGAAGAACUGUAAUGCCAUUAAUUUGGUGUUGCAGGGAAACAGGACUGUUACUUUAGAAAAAAUUAGAGUGUUUAAAGCAGGCCAUUGCCUGAAUACAUUAGCAUGGAAUAAUGAAAUAGGACGUUGAUCCUAUUUUGUUGGUUUCUAGGAUUGACGUAAUGAUUAAUAGGGAUAGUUGGGGGCAUUAGUAUUCAAUUGUCAGAGGUGAAAUUCUUGGAUUUAUUGAAGACUAACUACUGCGAAAGCAUUUGCCAAGGUAUGUUUUCAUUAAUCAAGAACGAAGUUAGGGGAUCGAAGACGAUCAGAUACCGUCGUAGUCUUAACCAUAAACUAUGCCGACUAGGGAUCGGAUGAUGUUAAUUUUUAAUGACUCAUUCGGCGCCUUAA
rnacentral:rRNA from 1 species